GAUGAACGCUGGCGGUAUGCUUAACACAUGCAAGUCAAACGGGCUCAGCUCUUUCGGGAGUUUGAGUUAGUGGCGGACGGGUGAGUAACGCGUAAGAAUCUACCUUUAGGAGGGGGACAACAGUUGGAAACGACUGCUAAUUCCCCAUAUGCUGAGGAGUGAAAUGGUGAAUAACCGCCUAAAGAUGAGCUUGCGUCUGAUUAGCUAGUUGGUAAGGUAAUGGCUUACCAAGGCGAUGAUCAGUAGCUGGUCUGAGAGGAUGAUCAGCCACACUGGGACUGAGACACGGCCCAGACUCCUACGGGAGGCAGCAGUGAGGAAUUUUCCGCAAUGGGCGAAAGCCUGACGGAGCAAUACCGCGUGGAGGAUGACGGCCUGCGGGUCUUAAACUCCUUUUCUUAGAGAAGAAAUUCUGACGGUAUCUAAGGAAUAAGCAUCGGCUAACUCCGUG
rnacentral:rRNA from 1 species